rnacentral:rRNA from 1 species
AGAAUAAUACUCCAUAGGUCUAGGAUGCUGGAAUGCACUUAGUCUGAAAACUCCGGUGCCUAAGGAUGAAUCUGCGGACUAUCAGGUUGUAGUCAGGGUAAUGACCUGACUAGCCUAUGACGGAUAUGGGUUGUGGGAGCAAUAACCCAGAGAUGAUAUCUGAGACACGAUAUCAGGCCCUACGGGGCGCAGCAGGCGCGAAAACUUCGCAAUGUGCGAAAGCACGACGAGGGAAUCCCAAGUGCUUGCACGUAAGUGUAAGCUGUUUCUCUGUUUAAAACGCAGAGAGAGUAAGGGCUGGGUAAGACGGGUGCCAGCCGCCGCGGUAAUACCUGCAGCUCAAGUGGUGGCCGUUAUUAUUGGGCCUAAAACGUCCGUAGCCGGUUUAUUAAAUGCCUGGGUAAAUCGGACCGCUUAACGGUUCGAAUUCCGGGUAGACUGAUAAACUUGAGACCGGGAGAAGUUAGAGGUACUCCUGGAGUAGAGGUGAAAUUCUGUAAUCCUAGGGGGACCACCAGUGGCGAAAGCGUCUAACUAGAACGGGUCUGACGGUGAGGGACGAAGCCCUGGGGCGCAAACGGGAUUAGAUACCCCGGUAGUCCAGGGUGUAAACGCUGCUUGCUUGAUGUUAGUCGGGCUCCGAGCCCGAUUAGUGUCGGAGAGAAG